rnacentral:lncRNA from 1 species
CAGAGCUUGUGGGCAGAGGGAGCGUUAUGAGGAGUCCAUGAAGAAGGCUUUUAUGAGGGGUGUGUGUCCUCAACAUGGAGGGCCCUGGCAUGUUCCACACUGGAAAGGGACGCAUGACCUGCACGAUGCUCCGCCCCUCCAGCACGAUCCUGGCUCAGGCUCAUUGGCCCGCCGCCUCUGUUCGGUUCAGCCUACUCCACUUUGACCCCCCUGUACCAUCGUCCCAGAGUGACAGAGAUGGUGGGUUCCAGGGCAGAGGUGUUCCACAGCACCCUACCACCAGGGGGCACUGCAAGCUCCCACAGAGCACAGACCGGUUUGUACUGACAUUGAUCUAUGGCACUGGGAGCUUAUUGUGGCUAUGUCCCGAUUCUCUACCCCUCUCCCACUUUGUCAUGGAUCUACAAUCAUUGGAUUGGUGUUAUCAUUGA